rnacentral:rRNA from 1 species
GGUGAACGCUGGCGGCGUGCUUAAGACAUCCAAGUCGAACGGCAGUCUUCGGACUGUAGUGGCGCACGGGUGAGUAACGCGUAACUGACCUACCCCAAAGUCGCGGAUAACGAUUCGAAAGAAUCGCUAAUACGUGAUGUGCUGGCAGAUUGUGUUAUGCCAGUAAAGAUUGAUUGCUUUGGGCUGGGGUUGCGUGCCAGCAGCUAGUUGGGGGGGUAAAGGCCCACCAAGGCGACGACGGAUAGCCGGCCUGGGAGGGUGGCCGGCCACAGGGGCACUGAGACACGGGUCCCACUCCUACGGGAGGCAGCAGUUAGGAAUCUUCCACAAUGGGCGAAAGCCUGAUGGAGCGACGCCGCGUGAGGGAUGAAGGUCUUCGGAUCGUAAACCUCUGAAUCAGGGACGAAAGACACUUCGGUGGGAUGACGGUACCUGAGUAAUAGCACCGGCUAACUCCGUGCCAGCCGCCGCCGUAAGAC